rnacentral:rRNA from 1 species
UACGUAGGGGGCAAGCGUUGUCCGGAUUUAUUGGGCGUAAAGGGCGCGUAGGUGGCCCGGUCAGUUCGUGGUGAAAGCGCGGGGCCCAACCCUGCGUCGGCCAUGAAUACUGCCGCGGCUGGAGCACUGUAGAGGCAGGCGGAAUUCCGGGUGUAGCGGUGGAAUGCGUAGAGAUCCGGAAGAACACCGGUGGCGAAGGCGGCCUGCUGGGCAGUUGCUGACACUGAGGCGCGACAGCGUGGGGGAGCAAACAGGG